rnacentral:snoRNA from 1 species
AUCCCAUGAUGAGGACACUUACAAAGUAAUUCCUUGAAUCUUUCACAUGCCUCGUACAAGGAUUCAUCAUCUAAUAGUGAAAAAGUGGUUAUCUCAUUUCGUGACU